AUGGCGACCGGCGCACGGGUGAGUAACGCGUAUGCAACCUGCCCGAUACCGGGGUAUAGCCCAUGGAAACGUGGAUUAACACCCCAUAGUACUUUUAUCCUGCCUGGGAUGGGAGUUAAAUGUUCAAGGUAUCGGAUGGGCAUGCGUCCUAUUAGUUAGUUGGCGGGGUAACAGCCCACCAAGACGAUGAUAGGUAGGGGUUCUGAGAGGAAGGUCCCUCACAUUGGAACUGAGACACGGUCCAA
rnacentral:rRNA from 1 species